AUCCAUCUGACGAGUCCUAAAUAGGACGAGACACGUGUGCUUGAU
rfam:Schistosoma haematobium scaffold210_7, whole genome shotgun sequence.